GAUGAACGCUGGCGGCGGCCUAACACAUGCAAGUCGAACGGUUAAAGCACCUUUUAGGUGUGUAUAAAGUGGCGAACGGCUGAGUAACACGUGGGCAACCUGCCCUCCUCUUGGGGAUAGCCUCGGGAAACCGAGGAUAAUACCCGAUACUUCAAUGUGGCCGCAUGACGACAUUGGAAAGCUUUUGCGGAGAAGGAUGGGCCCGCGGCCUGUUAGCUUGUUGGUGGGGUAGAGGCCUACCAAGGCAAUGAUGGGUAGCUGGGUUGAGAGACCGACCAGCCAGAUUGGGACUGAGACACGGCCCAGACUCCUACGGGAGGCAGCAGUGGGGAAUCUUGCACAAUGGGCGAAAGCCUGAUGCAGCGACGCCGCGUGCGGGACGAAGGCCUUCGGGUUGUAAACCGCUUUCAGCAGGGACGAGGCGAAAGUGACGGUACCUGCAGAAGAAGCCCCGCUAACUACAC
rnacentral:rRNA from 2 species